rnacentral:rRNA from 1 species
UGGGGAAUAUUGGACAAUGGGCGAAAGCCUGAUCCAGCCAUGCCGCGUGUGUGAAGAAGGUCUUCGGAUUGUAAAGCACUUUAAGUUGGGAGGAAGGGCAGUAAGCGAAUACCUUGCUGUUUUGACGUUACUCGCAGAAUAAGCACCGGCUAACUCUGUGCCAGCAGCCGCGGUAAUACAGAGGGUGCAAGCGUUAAUCGGAUUUACUGGGCGUAAAGCGCGCGUAGGCGGCUAAUUAAGUCAAAUGUGAAAUCCCCGAGCUUAACUUGGGAAUUGCAUUCGAUACUGGUUAGCUAGAGUGUGGGAGAGGAUGGUAGAAUUCCAGGUGUAGCGGUGAAAUGCGUAGAGAUCUGGAGGAAUACCGAUGGCGAAGGCAGCCAUCUGGCCUAACACUGACGCUGAGGUGCGAAAGCGUGGGGAGCAAACAGG